AUGGUGUGGUUGUGCGGUCUGUAUGGGCUCCCUCUCCCGCAUCCCUCCCCUCGUCUCCCACAUCGUCGCCGCCGCCCCGCCGAUCCCAUCCCUCCCGAUUCAGAUACGACCCCGACGCCCGCGCCCGCGCGCCACCACCCGCUCCUUGUUGCCUCCCGGAGGACGUCCGCCGCUCAUCCUCCGCCCGUCCCGGAGGCCUCAGUCGGCGCCCUCCGCCGCAGGGCCUCCGCGCUCGUCCCGCCCUCGGCGCCGCACCUCCACCGCCAUCUCCGCUGGCUCCUCGCCGAUGCCUCCACCCCUUCCCCGUCCAGCGCGCCGCUCGGGAAUGAGCACUGGAAGGACCUGGUGGUCGCCGUCCGGGACGGCGUGCUCAUCCCGUGGCCCAAGACGGAGGUCGUUGUGGACAUGGUCACCACCACCGACUGCGAGCGGGGGUCUGGGUCCUCUCCCUCGUCGUCCUUGGCGGCGGCAUCGCGGCUUGGCGCCAUCGCCGUGCCCUGCGUCGACGUCUCGAUCAGCUUCAUGGAUCGCCGUCUUCACGGUUGGUCGAAGAGGGCUGGAGUUCAUGUCGUUCCUGUUGUCCCUGUCCUGUUCCUCUUCGGCACCUCCUGGUUCAUCUUCGACCUCAUCCUGGUGGCCAAGAUUGUAGCUAAUGAGAUGAAUAACUACCUCUUGUUUGAGCACACUCUGCAAAUUGUGCCUGUCCCACUGGAGAAAGUUCAUGCCAAAUUGUAA
rnacentral:rRNA from 1 species